CUCCUGAGAGGUGUGCCUGUCACCAGAGUUGCCCGGAGGCCAAUGGGACAGCCUUGCCAGUUCUCCUUCCCCUAUAGCCCUGGGAACUUUCACUCAGGCCAGCCCUGGAUUCUUCUUCACUUUCACACUUAAUGAUCUGAAAACAUGGACAAGUUUCAUACUGAAGUGAAGAUCUACUGAAAGUGAUGGGUAUAUGAGGACCAGACUCUGCUCUCAA